rnacentral:lncRNA from 1 species
GAAAUGACGAGUCUGAAUCCUGUUGGAGUGAUUUGUUUCUUCAGACUUUGUAUCUUAAAUGAAAUCUUCUCCCUUAGAGGCCAUAUAAACUGAUGGUACAAUCUGCAACUCUAAGGCAAAUUCAUAGGUUAUACUUUUUCUUCUUCAUACUUGACAUUUGA